GAGAAUGUUAUCACGGGAGACACACGGCGGGUGCUAACGUCCGUCGUGAAGAGGGAAACAACCCAGACCGCCAGCUAAGGUCCCAAAGUCAUGGUUAAGUGGGAAACGAUGUGGGAAGGCCCAGACAGCCAGGAUGUUGGCUUAGAAGCAGCCAUCAUUUAAAGAAAGCGUAAUAGCUCACUGGUCGAGUCGGCCUGCGCGGAAGAUGUAACGGGGCUAAACCAUGCACCGAAGCUGCGGCAGCGACGCUUAUGCGUUGUUGGGUAGGGGAGCGUUCUGUAAGCCUGUGAAGGUGUGCUGUGAGGCAUGCUGGAGGUAUCAGAAGUGCGAAUGCUGACAUAAGUAACGAUAAAGCGGGUGAAAAGCCCGCUCGCCGGAAGACCAAGGGUUCCUGUCCAACGUUAAUCGGGGCAGGGUGAGUCGACCCCUAAGGCGAGGCCGAAAGGCGUAGUCGAUGGGAAACAGGUUAAUAUUCCUGUACUUGGUGUUACUGCGAAGGGGGGACGGAGAAGGCUAUGUUGGCCGGGCGACGGUUGUCCCGGUUUAAGCGUGUAGGCUGGUUUUCCAGGCAAAUCCGGAAAAUCAAGGCUGAGGCGUGAUGACGAGGCACUACGGUGCUGAAGCAACAAAUGCCCUGCUUCCAGGAAAAGCCUCUAAGCAUCAGGUAACAUCAAAUCGUACCCCAAACCGACACAGGUGGUCAGGUAGAGAAUACCAAGGCGCUUGAGAGAACUCGGGUGAAGGAACUAGGCAAAAUGGUGCCGUAACUUCGGGAGAAGGCACGCUGAUAUGUAGGUGAAGUCCCUUGCGGAUGGAGCUGAAAUCAGUCGAAGAUACCAGCUGGCUGCAACUGUUUAUUAAAAACACAGCACUGUGCAAACACGAAAGUGGACGUAUACGGUGUGACGCCUGCCCGGUGCCGGAAGGUUAAUUGAUGGGGUCAGCGCAAGCGAAGCUCUUGAUCGAAGCCCCGGUAAACGGCGGCCGUAACUAUAACGGUCCUAAGGUAGCGAAAUUCCUUGUCGGGUAAGUUCCGACCUGCACGAAUGGCGUAAUGAUGGCCAGGCUGUCUCCACCCGAGACUCAGUGAAAUUGAACUCGCUGUGAAGAUGCAGUGUACCCGCGGCAAGACGGAAAGACCCCGUGAACCUUUACUAUAGCUUGACACUGAACAUUGAGCCUUGAUGUGUAGGAUAGGUGGGAGGCUUUGAAGUGUGGACGCCAGUCUGCAUGGAGCCGACCUUGAAAUACCACCCUUUAAUGUUUGAUGUUCUAACGUGGACCCGUGAUCCGGGUUGCGGACAGUGUCUGGUGGGUAGUUUGACUGGGGCGGUCUCCUCCUAAAGAGUAACGGAGGAGCACGAAGGUUGGCUAAUCCUGGUCGGACAUCAGGAGGUUAGUGCAAUGGCAUAAGCCAGCUUGACUGCGAGCGUGACGGCGCGAGCAGGUGCGAAAGCAGGUCAUAGUGAUCCGGUGGUUCUGAAUGGAAGGGCCAUCGCUCAACGGAUAAAAGGUACUCCGGGGAUAACAGGCUGAUACCGCCCAAGAGUUCAUAUCGACGGCGGUGUUUGGCACCUCGAUGUCGGCUCAUCACAUCCUGGGGCUGAAGUAGGUCCCAAGGGUAUGGCUGUUCGCCAUUUAAAGUGGUACGCGAGCUGGGUUUAGAACGUCGUGAGACAGUUCGGUCCCUAUCUGCCGUGGGCGCUGGAGAACUGAGGGGGGCUGCUCCUAGUACGAGAGGACCGGAGUGGACGCAUCACUGGUGUUCGGGUUGUCAUGCCAAUGGCACUGCCCGGUAGCUAAAUGCGGAAGAGAUAAGUGCUGA
rnacentral:rRNA from 1 species